UACGUAGGGUGCAAGCGUUAAUCGGAAUUACUGGGCGUAAAGCGUGCGCAGGCGGCUUUGCAAGACAGAUGUGAAAUCCCCGGGCUCAACCUGGGAACUGCAUUUGUGACUGCAUGGCUAGAGUACGGUAGAGGGGGAUGGAAUUCCGCGUGUAGCAGUGAAAUGCGUAGAUAUGCGGAGGAACACCGAUGGCGAAGGCAGUUCUCUGGGACGGUACUGACGCUGAGACGCGAAAGCGUGGGGAGCGAACAGG
rnacentral:rRNA from 1 species